GACGAACGCUGGCGGCGUGCUUAACACAUGCAAGUCGAACGGAAAGGCCCUGCUUUUGUGGGGUGCUCGAUUGGCGAACGGGUGAGUAACACGUGAGUAACCUGCCCUUGACUUUGGGAUAACUUCAGGAAACUGGGGCUAAUACCGGAUAGGAUCUCCUGCUGCAUGUUGGGGGUUGGAAAGUUUCGGCGGUUGGGGAUGGACUCGCGGCUUAUCAGCUUGUUGGUGGGGUAGUGGCUUACCAAGGCUUUGACGGGUAGCCGGCCUGAGAGGGUGACCGGCCACAUUGGGACUGAGAUACGGACCAGAAUCCUACGGGAGGCAGCAGUGGGGAAUAUUGCACAAUGGGCGGAAGCCUGAUGCAGCAACGCCGCGUGCGGGAUGACGGCCUUCGGGUUGUAAACCGCUUUCGCCUGUGACGAAGCGUGCGUGACGGUAAUGGGUAAAGAAGCACCGGCUAACUACGUG
rnacentral:rRNA from 1 species